UACGAAGGGGGCUAGCGUUGCUCGGAAUCACUGGGCGUAAAGGGUGCGUAGGCGGGUCUUUACGUCAGGGGUGAAAUCCUGGAGCUCAACUCCAGAACUGCCUUUGAUACUGAAGAUCUUGAGUUCGGGAGAGGUGAGUGGAACUGCGAGUGUAGAGGUGAAAUUCGUAGAUAUUCGCAAGAACACCAGUGGCGAAGGCGGCUCACUGGCCCGAUACUGACGCUGAGGCACGAAAGCGUGGGGAGCAAACAGG
rnacentral:rRNA from 1 species